rnacentral:rRNA from 1 species
AGAUUGAACGCUGGCGGCAUGCCUAACACAUGCAAGUCGAACGGGAGUAGCAAUACUCUAGUGGCGGACGGGUGAGGAAUACGUAGGAAUUUGCCCUUAAGUGGGGGAUAACCCGGGGAAACCCGGAUUAAUACCGCAUGACCUCGAAAGAGCAAAGUGGGGGAUCGCAAGACCUCACGCUUUUGGAGAAGCCUACGUCGGAUUAGCUAGUUGGUGAGGUAAUGGCUCACCAAGGCGACGAUCCGUAACUGGUCUGAGAGGAUGAUCAGUCACACCGGAACUGAGACACGGUCCGACUCCUACGGGAGCAGCAGUGGGGAAUAUUGGACAAGUGGCGCAAGCCUAGAUCCAGCAAGUGACCGCGUGUGUGAAGAAGGCCUUCGGGUUGUAAAGUCUACGUUUAA